UACGGAGGGUGCAAGCGUUAUCCGGAUUCACUGGGUUUAAAGGGUGCGUAGGCGGAUAGGUAAGUCCGUGGUGAAAUCUCCCGACUUAAUCGGGAAACUGCCAUGGAUACUAUCUAUCUUGAAUGCCGUGGAGGUUAGCGGAAUAUGUCAUGUAGCGGUGAAAUGCUUAGAUAUGACAUAGAACACCCAUUGCGAAGGCAGCUAACUACGCGGUGAUUGACGCUGAUGCACGAAAGCGUGGGGAUCAAACAGG
rnacentral:rRNA from 1 species